rnacentral:rRNA from 1 species
AUUGAACGCUGGCGGCAGGCCUAACACAUGCAAGUCGAGCGGAUGAAGGGAGCUUGCUCCUGGAUUCAGCGGCGGACGGGUGAGUAAUGCCUAGGAAUCUGCCUGGUAGUGGGGGAUAACGUCCGGAAACGGGCGCUAAUACCGCAUACGUCCUGAGGGAGAAAGUGGGGGAUCUUCGGACCUCACGCUAUCAGAUGAGCCUAGGUCGGAUUAGCUAGUUGGUGGGGUAAAGGCCUACCAAGGCGACGAUCCGUAACUGGUCUGAGAGGAUGAUCAGUCACACUAGAACGUGGACACGGUCCAUGCUACUAAGGGAGGCAGCAGUCGGGAAUAUUGGACAACGGUCGAGAGUCUUAUACAGUGAUGCGGCGUGUGUUAAGAAGGUCUUCGGAGUGGAAAGAACGCUAAGUUGGUGGGAAGGGCAGUAAGUUAAUACGUUGCUGUUUUGACGUUACCAGCAGAAGAAGCACCGGCUAACUUCGUG